rnacentral:rRNA from 1 species
GACGAACGCUGGCGGCGUGCUUAACACAUGCAAGUCGAACGGAAAGGCCCUGCUUUUGUGGGGUGCUCGAGUGGCGAACGGGUGAGUAACACGUGAGUAACCUGCCCUUGACUUUGGGAUAACUUCAGGAAACUGGGGCUAAUACCGGAUAGGAGCUCCUGCUGCAUGGGGGGGGUUGGAAAGUUUCGGCGGUUGGGGAUGGACUCGCGGCUUAUCAGCUUGUGGGUGGGGUAGUGGCUUACCAAGGCUUUGACGGGUAGCCGGCCUGAGAGGGUGACCGGCCACAUUGGGACUGCGAUACGGCCCAGACUCCUACGGGAGGCAGCAGUGGGGAGUAUUGCACAGUGGGCGGAAGCCUGAUGCAGCAACGCCGCGUGCGGGAUGACGGCCUUCGGGUUGUAAACCGCUUUCGCCUGUGACGAAGCGUGAGUGACGGUAAUGGGUAAAGAAGCACCGGCUAACUACGUG